UCACUACAAAUCACUUGUAAUCUACUGUUAUUUAAUUAACAAUUUAAAAAAACUAUAUCAAAUCCACUGUUAUUCAAAGAUAAACAAUUUUGAAAAGAAAAAACUAUGAAAGGGAUUUAAAGCAAACCUUUUUGACUGAAAAUAAUAAAAAUGUCUAACCAUCUCUCUUACUACAGUUUUGACUGAAAUAAUAAAAAGGUCACUCUAGUACCCCGGAAGAUACGCUUUCAAAGGCUAUCACCCUAGCGAGGGAAUGGUGUGCAAAAGACAAGCCACCCAUCUCCAAACCGUCUUGUGUUGAGAUUUCUCUGCAACCACCACCAUUUACAGUGACAAUCAGGUCCGAUGCUGCGUGGUCUCCACAGGGAACGGCUGCUGGAUUGGGAUGUUUCGUCAUAACACCGGCAGGGACAAGAACGCAUAGCAAAAGCCUGACGCAUGUCAACUCGGUGUUACUAGCAGAAGGACUUGCUUUGCUGGAAGCAGUCAAACUAGGAGUGCAGCAGGAGCUAAGAAUGGUUUGUUUUGAGUCGGAUUCUUCUCAACUUAUAACAGCGAUCAACGCGAGAGGAUGCUUGCCUGAGCUAUAUGGAGUGAUGGAAGAUAUUUUCUCCUUUCUUUCUCUUUUCGAGUUUGUUUCUUUUAGCUGGAUUCCCCGUGAGAGAAAUCUCCAAGCAGAUAGGCUUGCCAAGGCAGCCUUAAAUGUAUGUGCACCCCAAGUGGUUGAAGGAGUAGUUAUUGCUCCCAACUAAACUUUGAAUUGCAAUGAAUGAAGUUGUGUUUCAAAAAAAAAGAGAAAUCACACCUUUGUACCUGGUAUUUUAGAAAGACCCAAAAUCAACAUUAAAAAGUUGACGGAAGGAAAAGACAAUCCAUAUCUCGAGCACUACGGGAAGAUGAAGCUCACAUCUUUGUACCUGUUACUCAACCACCUUCUCUCAAAAACUAGCAUCUACACCAGAAAUUUCUCCCUACACCUCACUGUUGACUCGAAUCUGAUUCGACUACCUCUCCGAACCCUUUCGCCCACAAGCACAGCGGUGACAAUCUGCCGCCUUUGUCAAAUCCGUAUCAGGAUUCUCAAUAUCAUACGUUGAGAUUCAGAGGAAGGUGUUGCAGGUUUAGCUAAGAUGACGACAGUAGAUGUCAUACAGCUGCUGAUUCAAUCAUAGAAGCUUUAGAGGCAGUAGACAAUGAAAAGAACUGUGUUGCUGAAUUUGAGGUAUGCAAAAAUACAAUCGGUUUCAAUUUGGUUGCUAUGGAUCAUCUAAAGUAAAAGAUGGCAUCAAUCAAAUUCUGAUGCUCCUUUCAGAGAUGCUAAAGCGAAGCUAAUGGAGAUAAGAUCACAGCAAGCUAAACGCACGGAGGCCCGUUUGGAUACGAAAACAGAGAGGAAAAGAAAGAAGAAACAAAAGAAAUUAGAGGAUGGCCAUGGACUCAUGCUUGGGCCUGAUGAUUCUCCUUUCUUACAUUUUCUUCUGUAAUGUGAAAGAGUUAAAAGUUAAAAUCCAAAAUUUUGCUAUAUGAAAAAGUUAUGAUUACUGGAUUCUUACUUCACGUUUUUUUUAAUAAUCGGAGUUUGAAGAGUACUCUGAAAAUUAAGAUCUAAUGAUCUAGAGUACUCUGAGAUUUCAUCCAAAUCUUUUUUUCCUUUUCUAAAUCUCACCUAUAUAAAUGAGAUUUAGUCCAAAUCUCUUCAAACUCCAAUAUUUCUCAAAUCCACUCAGAUCU